rnacentral:rRNA from 1 species
UACAGAGGUCUCAAGCGUUGUUCGGAUUCAUUGGGCGUAAAGGGUGCGUAGGUGGCGCCGUAAGUCAGGUGUGAAAUUUCGGAGCUUAACUCCGAAACUGCAUUUGAUACUGCGGUGCUUGAGGACUGGAGAGGAGACUGGAAUUUACGAUGUAGCAGUGAAAUGCGUAGAGAUCGUAAGGAAGACCAGUGGCGAAGGCGGGUCUCUGGACAGUUCCUGACACUGAGGCACGAAGGCCAGGGGAGCAAACGGG